AGCAGAUAACUGAUGAGUUGUGAAGGUUUUCAGUGUGGUGUAUACGUCGAUGAAUACAAGUAACAAUGUCAUCAACUAUUCAGCCUCACCGACGAAACAGCAAGGAUGUUCCUCCCAGAUUGGCAUCACAUCAUGAUGCCAUCCUCAUGAAUCCAGGUCCUCCAGCACUUUACCAACUGAACACAGACA